rnacentral:rRNA from 1 species
CCUACGGGCGGCAGCAGUGGGGAAUAUUGCAAAAUGGGGGGAACCCUGAUGCAGCGACGCCGCGUGAAGGAAGAAGAAUUUCGGUAUGUAAACUUCUAUCAGCAGGGAAGAAAAGGACGGUACCUGACUAAGAAGCCCCGGCUAACUACGUUCCAGCAGCCGCGGUAAUACGUAGGGGGCAAGCGUUAUCCGGAUUUACUGGGGGUAAAGGGAGCGUAGGCGGCAGUGCAAGUCAGAAGUGAACGCCCAAGGCUCAACCCUGGGACUGCUUUUGAAACUGUACAGCUAGAUUGCAGGAGAGGUAAGUGGAAUUCCUAGUGUAGCGGUGCAAUUCGUAGAUAUUAGGCGGAACCCCAGUGGCGACGGCGGCUUACUGGACUGUAACUGACGCUGCGGCUCGAAAGCGUGGGGCGCAAACAGGAUUAGAUUCCCUUGUAGUC